UUGGUAAAGUCCCCGCAGCUUCGUAUAACCCCAAUAAUACGGUUUGGGGGUCUCUACCAGUUCCCGAAAAGUGCUGAUUACGAAGAGUUAGGAUGGCAUU
rnacentral:ncRNA from 2 species